CUGGAGAUGGACUGUGGCUGAGGCUUGUUCUUGAGCUUCUCUGUAAUUGGGUUGCCAUGAACAACCCGCUUCCUUUCUUGGAUCUGAGCUUUCCUCUUCUUCUGAAUCUCGUUGAACUUCGUCAUGGCUGGUCCCCAAAACCCUAAAAAUGUCACUUUAGUUG